UGCAUGGCUGUCGUCAGCUCGUGUCGUGAGAUGUUGGGUUAAGUCCCGCAACGAGCGCAACCCUUGCCUUUAGUUGCCAGCAGUUCGGCUGGGCACUCUAAAGGGACUGCCGGUGUUAAACCGGAGGAAGUGGGGAUGACGUCAAGUCCUCAUGGCCUUUAUGACCAGGGCUACACACGUACUACAAUGGCCGAUACAAAGGGCAGCGACACUGCGAGGUGAAGCCAAUCCCGUAAAAUCGGUCUCAGUCCGGAUUGGAGCCUGCAACUCGACUCCAUGAAGUUGGAAUCGCUAGUAAUCGUGGAUCAGCAUGCCACGGUGAAUACGUUCCCGGGCCUU
rnacentral:rRNA from 1 species